rnacentral:rRNA from 1 species
AGACUCCUACGGGAGGCAGCAGUGGGGAAUAUUGCACAAUGGGCGAAAGCCUGAUGCAGCAAUACCGCGUGUGUGAAGAAGGCCUGAGGGUUGUAAAGCACUUUCAAUUGUGAGGAAAAGCUUUUGGUUAAUAACCUUGAGUCUUGACGUUAGCAAUACAAGAAGCACCGGCUAACUCCGUGCCAGCAGCCGCGGUAAUACGGAGGGUGCAAGCGUUAAUCGGAAUUACUGGGCGUAAAGAGUACGUAGGUGGUCUAUUAAGUCAGAUGUGAAAGCCCCGGGCUUAACCUGGGAACUGCAUUUGAAACUGAUAAACUCGAGUAUGGUAGAGGGGGGUAGAAUUUCUAGUGUAGCGGUGAAAUGCGUAGAUAUUAAAAGGAAUACCAGUGGCGAAGGCGGCCCCCUGGACCAAUACUGACACUGAGUACGAAAGCGUGGGUAGCGAACAGGAUUAGAUACCCUGGUAGUCCACGCCGUAACGAUGCUAACUAGCCCUUUGGGGGCCAUUGGGGCCUCCCAGUGGUGGAGCUAACCGCGUGAGUGAACCGCCUGGGGGGUACGGCCGCCAAGGCUAAAACUCCAUAGAAUUGACGGGGGCCGCACAAGCGG